UACGAAGGGGGCUAGCGUUGCUCGGAAUCACUGGGCGUAAAGCGCACGUAGGCGGCUUUUUAAGUCAGGGGUGAAAUCCUGGAGCUCAACUCCAGAACUGCCUUUGAUACUGGGAAGCUUGAGUCCGGGAGAGGUGAGUGGAACUCCGAGUGUAGAGGUGAAAUUCGUAGAUAUUCGGAAGAACACCAGUGGCGAAGGCGGCUCUCUGGGACGGUACUGACGCUGAGACGCGAAAGCGUGGGGAGCGAACAGG
rnacentral:rRNA from 1 species